rnacentral:tRNA from 1 species
AGGGGUUUAGUAUAAUGGUAGUACCAUAGUCUCCAAAACUAUUUGUAAGGGUUCGAUUCCUUUAACCCCUGCCA